CCUACGGGAGGCUGCAGUGGGGAAUAUUGGACAAUGGGCGAAAGCCUGAUCCAGCCAUGCCGCGUGUGUGAAGAAGGCCUUCGGGUUGUAAAGCACUUUCAGUGGGGAAGAAAGCCUUGGGGCUAAUACCCUCGAGGAAGGACAUCACCCACAGAAGAAGCACCGGCUAACUCCGUGCCAGCAGCCGCGGUAAUACGGAGGGUGCGAGCGUUAAUCGGAAUUACUGGGCGUAAAGCGCGCGUAGGCGGUCUGAUAAGCCGGUUGUGAAAGCCCCGGGCUCAACCUGGGAACGGCAUCCGGAACUGUCAGGCUAGAGUGCAGGAGAGGAAGGUAGAAUUCCCGGUGUAGCGGUGAAAUGCGUAGAGAUCGGGAGGAAUACCAGUGGCGAAGGCGGUCUUCUGGACUGACACUGACGCUGAGGUGCGAAAGCGUGGGUAGCAAACAGGAUUAGAUACCCGAGUAGUC
rnacentral:rRNA from 1 species